UCGGUCUGCGCGGCGAGUGGCGAACGGGUGAGUAAUGUAUCGGAACGUGCCCAGUAGCGGGGGAUAACUACUUGAAAGAGUAGCUAAUACCGCAUACGCCCUACGGGGGAAAGGGGGGGAUCGCAAGACCUCUCACUAUUGGAGCGGCCGAUAUCGGAUUAGCUAGUUGGUGGGGUAACGGCUCACCAAGGCGACGAUCCGUAGCUGGUUUGAGAGGACGACCAGCCACACUGGGACUGAGACACGGCCCAGACUCCUACGGGAGGCAGCAGUGGGGAAUUUUGGACAAUGGGGGAAACCCUGAUCCAGCCAUCCCGCGUGUGCGAUGAAGGCCUUCGGGUUGUAAAGCACUUUUAGCAGGAAAGAAAUGGCACGGGUUAAUAACCCGUGUUGAUGACGGUACCUGCAGAAUAAGCACCGGCUAACUACGUGCCAGCAGCCGCGGUAAUACGUAGGGUGCAAGCGUUAAUCGGAAUUACUGGGCGUAAAGCGUGCGCAGGCGGUUCGGAAAGAAAGAUGUGAAAUCCCAGGGCUUAACCUUGGAACUGCAUUUUUAACUACCGGGCUAGAGUGCGUCAGAGGGGGGUGGAAUUCCGCGUGUAGCAGUGAAAUGCGUAGAUAUGCGGAGGAACACCGAUGGCGAAGGCAGCCCCCUGGGAUGACACUGACGCUCAUGCACGAAAGCGUGGGGAGCAAACAG
rnacentral:rRNA from 1 species